rnacentral:rRNA from 1 species
GAUGAACGCUGGCGGCGUGCCUAAUACAUGCAAGUCGAGCGGAAAGGCGCUGCUUUUGCUGCUUUCUCGAGUGGCGAGCACGGGAGUAACACGCGUGUAUCCUCUCCUUAACAUACGGGUAUCUUUUGGGAACACCGGCUAAUACACGAUAUGAGCUCCUGCAGCGUGUUGUGGGUUGGAAAGUUUCGGCGGUGGUGGAUGUUCUAGCGGGUUACCAGCUUGUUUGUGGGGUAGUGGAUUACGAAGUUUUUGACGGGUAGCCGGCCUGAGAGGGUGACCGGCGACAAUGGUACUGAGAGACGGCGCAGACUGCUACGGGAGGCAGCAGUGGGGAGUCUUGCACAAUGGGCGGAAGCCUGAUGCAGAAACGCCGCGUGCGGGAUGACGGCUUUCGGGUGAUAAACAGCUUUCGCAGGUGACGAAGCGUGAGUGACGGUAAUGGGUCAAGAAGCCACGGCUAACUACGUG